ACGCUCGACACCUACGGGUGGCAGCAGUCGGGAAUAUUGCGCAAUGGAGGAAACUCUGACGCAGUGACGCCGCGUGCAGGAAGAAGGUUUUCGGAUUGUAAACUGCUUUAGACAGGGAAGAAGAAGUGACAGUACCUGUAGAAUAAGCUCCGGCUAACUACGUCCCAGCAGCCGCGGUAAUCUGAGCGGGCUGGCAAGGC
rnacentral:rRNA from 1 species